CCUACGGGAGGCAGCAGUAGGGAAUCUUCCACAAUGGGCGAAAGCCUGAUGGAGCGACGCCGCGUGGGUGAAGAAGGUCUUCGGAUCGUAAAGCCCUGUUGUUAGGGAAGAAAGUGCGUGAGAGUAACUGAUCACGUUCCGACGGUAUCUAACCAGAAAGCCACGGCUAACUACGUGCCAGCAGCCGCGGUAAUACGUAGGGGGCAAGCGUUAUCCGGAUUUAGUGGGCGUAAAGGGAACGCAGGCGGUCUUGUAAGUCUGCUGUGAAAGCCCUGGGCUUAACCGCGGGAGUGCUUUGGAAACUGGGAGACUGGAGUGCAGAAGAGGAGAGUGGAAUUCCAUGUGUAGCGGUGAAAUGCGUAGAUAUAUGGAAGAACACCAGUGGCGAAGGCGGCUUUCUGGUCUGUAACUGACGCUGAGGGUCGAAAGCGUGGGGAGCAAACAGGAUUAGAUACCCCAGUAGUC
rnacentral:rRNA from 1 species